CAGUCGCCGCGGUAAUACGAAGGGUGCAAGCGUUAAUCGGAAUUACUGGGCGUAAAGCGUGCGUAGGCGGUUUGUUAAGUCUGCUGUGAAAUCCCCGGGCUCAACCUGGGAAUGGCAGUGGAUACUGGCAAGCUAGAGUGUGGUAGAGGAUAGUGGAAUUUCCGGUGUAGCAGUGAAAUGCGUAGAGAUCGGAAGGAACAUCUGUGGCGAAGGCGACUAUCUGGGCCAACACUGACACUGAGGCACGAAAGCGUGGGGAGCAAACAGGAUUAGAUACCCGCGUAGUCCCUGUCUCUUAUAC
rnacentral:rRNA from 1 species